rnacentral:rRNA from 2 species
GGAAAAGAAACCAACAGGGAUUGCCCCAGUAACGGCGAGUGAAGCGGCAAGAGCUCAAAUUUGAAAUCUGGCCCCUCCGGGGUCCGAGUUGUAAUUUGCAGAGGAUGCUUCGGGCGCGGUCCCCGUCUAAGUACCCUGGAACGGGUCGUCAUAGAGGGUGAGAAUCCCGUCUGGGACGGGUGGCCGUGUCCGUGUGAAGCUCCUUCGACGAGUCGAGUUGUUUGGGAAUGCAGCUCUAAAUGGGUGGUAAAUUUCAUCUAAAGCUAAAUAUUGGCCGGAGACCGAUAGCGCACAAGUAGAGUGAUCGAAAGAUGAAAAGCACUUUGAAAAGAGAGUUAAACAGCACGUGAAAUUGUUGAAAGGGAAGCGCUUGCGACCAGACUCGCCCGCGGGGGUUCAGCCGGUACUCGUACCGGUGUACUCCCCCGGGGGCGGGCCAGCGUCGGUUUGGGCGGUCGGUCAAAGGCCUCCGGAAUGUGUCGCCCCCCGGGGCGUCUUAUAGCCGGAGGUGCAAUGCGGCCAGCCUGGACCGAGGAACGCGCUUCGGCUCGGACGCUGGCGUAAUGGUCGUA